UCCCGGAUGGCUUAGCGGUAAAGAAUCUGCCUGCAAUGCAGGAGACAUGGGAGACUUAGGUUCAAUCCCUGAGCCAGGAA
rnacentral:tRNA from 1 species